rnacentral:piRNA from 1 species
UNCAGAAGUCAGCCUGUACGUGAACAUGA